rnacentral:rRNA from 1 species
AGCUACCUGCAGUCGAAGAUUAGUGGCAGACGGGUGAGUAACGCGUGGGAACGUACCUUUCACUACGGAAUAGCUCUGGGAAACUGGUGGUAAUACCGUAUACGCCCUCCGGGGGAAAGAUUUAUCGGUGAAAGAUCGGCCCGCGUUGGAUUAGCUAGUUGGUGAGGUAAUGGCUCACAAAGGCGACGAUCCAUAGCUGGUCUGAGAGGAUGAUCAGCCACACUGGGACUGAGACACGGCCCAGACUCCUACGGGAGGCAGCAGUGGGGAAUCUUGCACAAUGGGCGAAAGCCUGAUGCAGCCAUGCCGCGUGAAUGAUGAAGGCCUUAGGGUUGUAAAAUUCUUUCGUCAGGGAUGAUAAUGACCGUACCUGAAGAAGAAGCCCCGGCUAACUUCGUGCCAGCAGCCGCGGUAAUACGAAGGGGGCUAGCGUUGUUCGGAAUUACUGGGCGUAAAGCGCACGUAGGCGGACUUUUAAGUCAGGUGUGAAAUCCCGGGGCUCAACCUCGGAACUGCAUUUGAAACUGGGAGUCUUGAGAUCAGGAGAGGUUAGCGGAAUACCGAGUGUGGAGGUGAAAUUCGUAGAUAUUCGGUGGAACACCAGUGGCGAAGGCGGCUAACUGGACUGAUACUGACGCUGAGGUGCGAAAGUGUGGGGAGCAAACAGGAUUAGAUACCCUGGUAGUCCACACCGUAAACGAUGAGAGCUAGUUGUUGGCAGGCAUGCCUGUCGGUGACGCAGCUAACGCAUUAAGCUCUCCGCCUGGGGAGUACGCGCCGCAGGUUAAAACUCAAAGAAAUUGACCGGGGCCCGCACAAGCGGUGGAGCAUGUGGU